GACGAACCGUGCGAACGUUGUUCGGAAUCACUGGGCUUAAAGGGCGCGUAGGCGGUCGACCAAGUCCGGGGUGAAAUCUUUCGGCUUAACCGGAAAAGUGCCUUGGAUACUGGCCGGCUGGAGGGAGGUAGGGGCAGGUGGAACUUCCAGUGGAGCGGUGAAAUGCGUUGAUAUUGGAAGGAACGCCGGUGGCGAAAGCGACCUGCUGGACCUCUUCUGACGCUGAGGCGCGAAAGCUAGGGGAGCAAACGGG
rnacentral:rRNA from 1 species